rnacentral:rRNA from 1 species
AGUGGCAAACGGGUGAGUAUAAUGUGGGAAUCUGCCUUUUGGUCUGGAAUAACACGAGGAAACUUGUGCUAAUACCGGAUAAGCCUUCACAGGGAAAGUUUUAAUGCCAAAAGAUGAGCCCGCACUUGAUUAGCUAGUUGGUAAGGUAAUAGCUUACCAAGGCAACGAUCAAUAGCUGUUCUUAGAGGAAGACCAGCCACAUUGGGACUGAGACACGGCCCAAACUCCUACGGGAGGCAGCAGUGGGGAAUCUUGCACAAUGGGGGCAACCCUGAUGCAGCGAUGCCGCGUGAGUGAAGAAGGCCUUUGGGUUGUAAAACUCUUUCGUCGGGGAAGAAAAUGACUGUACCCGAAUAAGAAGGUCCGGCUAACUUCGUGCCAGCAGCCGCGGUAAUACGAAGGGACCUAGCGUAGUUCGGAAUUACUGGGCUUAAAGAGCUCGUAGGUGGUUAAAAAAGUUGAUGGUGAAAUCCCAAGGCUCAACCUUGGAACUGCCAUCAAAACUUUUUAGCUAGAGUAUGAUAGAGGAAAGUGGAAUUUCUAGUGUAGAGGUGAAAUUCGUAGAUAUUAGAAAGAACACCAAAUGCGAAGGCAACUUUCUGGAUCAUUACUGACACUGAGGAGCGAAAGCAUGGGUAGCGAAGAGGAUUAGAUACCCUCGUAGUCCAUGCCGA